rnacentral:lncRNA from 1 species
AAGCUUUAGGGUUAGUGUGUAUAUAUGUGUAUAUUAAUGACUCGCUAUAGGAUUUUUCUUCUUAAACUCAGAAAGCCUAGGUAGGGUGAACAAUUGAGUGAUCACGCAUCUGCUGACUGUAUUUCUGCAAGCUUUUAUUUUCACCAAGUUUGGUUGCAUCCAUCUGCUGUGGAAAGAUUUUUAAAAAGUAAUUCGGCUUGGCUUCUCUGCAACAGAGCUUUGGGAACACUGCCAGCAGCCCACUCUCUUUUCAUGUGAGUUUUAAAGGAUCCCUGCUAUGUCUUCCUUUGUUUCCCAGUUCUCUGUCAGAAAUGAAGUAAUGGCUACCAGCCACGUCACAGAUGAAUGGAUGACACAAAUGGAAAUGAGUAGCCUGAACACUUACAUUGUCCGCCGUUACAUAGCAACACCCAAUGGCGUCCUCAGAAUUUAUCCUGGUUCCCUCAUGGACAAAGCAUUUGAUCCCACUAGGAGACAAUGGUAUCUCCAUGCAGUAGCUAAUCCAGGGUUGAUUUCUUUGACUGGUCCUUACUUAGAUGUUGGAGGAGCUGGUUAUGUUGUGAC